AUGAAUAAAUCUAAAAUUUAGAAAUUAAUUUCGACUUAAUCUUUUGAUUAUUUUUUAUAUAAUCUAUUCAUU
rnacentral:tRNA from 1 species